rnacentral:rRNA from 1 species
CCUACGGGAGGCAGCAGUGGGGGAUAUUGCACAAUGGGGGGAACCCUGAUGCAGCGACGCCGCGUGGGUGAAGGAGCGUUUCGGCGCGUAAAGCCCUAUCGGCAGGGAAGAAGGAGGACGGGACCAGACUAAGAAGCCCCGGCUAACGACGUGCCAGCAGCCGCGGUAAUACGUAGGGGGCAAGAGUUAGACGGAUUUACUGGGGGGAAAGGGGGCGCAGACGGGAGCGCAAGCCAGGAGUGAAAGCCCGGGGCACAACACCGGGACUGCUCUUGGAACUGCGCGGCGGGAGUGCAGGAGGGGCAGGCGGAAUUCCUGGUGUAGCGGUGAAAUGCGUAGAUAUCAGGAGGAACACCGGUGGCGAAGGCGGCCUGCUGGACUGCGACUGACGUUGAGGCCCGAAAGCGUGGGGAGCAAACAGGAUUAGAUACCCCAGUAGUC